GUAACACGUAUGCAACCUACCUUUAACUGAGGGAUAGCCCAAAGAAAUUUGGAUUAAUACCUCAUAAUAUUACGAGAUCACAUGGUCAUGUAAUUAAAACUCCGGUGGUUAAAGAUGGGCAUGCGCAACAUUAGCUAGUUGGUAAGGUAAUGGCUUACCAAGGCGACGAUGUUUAGGGGGUCUUAAAGGAUGGUCCCCCACACUGGUACUGAGACACGGACCAGACUCC
rnacentral:rRNA from 1 species